AUGCCUUGAAAGGGACAGUACGGCACCUCAGCUUAAUCCCUCUUGGUGGUGGCGGCAUUUUGGCACAUUCCUUGGCACAUAUAGCAUCCUGGUUGAAGGUAAAGGAAGUUGAUCAAUCUGGGGAUGGAAUUGAAUCCAUCAUCAACAAGGUGGAGUCCUGCCUUGCUGACGGGAAAAUAGCCGAAGCAGCAGAGGCACUUGAAGAAGGUGUGAAAGGCACCCAAGCAACAGAAGUAGUGCGCGAAUGGGUGAAGCGUGCUAGGAAUAGGGCUAUCACAGACCAAGCUCUUACACUUCUCCAAUCAUAUGCUACUUCUAUCAGUGUCACAUAAAAUCCACUUCUUGAGUACGCAUACUGAGGCUGCAUAAUUGAUCUACAUAAAGGUUCUUUGGUCUAGUGUUGUAGCUCCCGAUAAUUGCCUGGUUCUGAUGUAAACAAACAAAUCAUAAUGUGUUACCGACAUUAUGAUUGAAAAUGUCACUUAAUUUUUUUUGGGGGGUUUAAUGUCAUGGGAAGUUUCUGAGCAAUUGUAUUUUUCGUCUUCAGCUUGAGUAGAUUAUCUAUUACCCUCUUGAGUGGCAUAUUGUUUCAAAUGCUGCAAAAGAAUUUUGCAUGCUAUAAUGGCAUUAUAGGCUGUAGCACUGCUUCAGAACACAGUGACUAAAUUGGCCACCAUGAUGUAACACAGGGACUAUUUUUGCAUUUAAGCCUUAUUGUUACCAUUA